rnacentral:rRNA from 1 species
UGGGGAAUAUUGCACAAUGGGGGAAACCCUGAUGCAGCGACGCCGCGUGGGUGAAGAAGUAUUUCGGUAUAUAAAGCCCUAUCAGCAGGGAAGAAAAUGACGGUACCUGAUCAAGAAGCCCCGGCUAACUACGUGCC